rnacentral:rRNA from 1 species
GAUGAACGCUAGCUACAGGCUUAACACAUGCAAGUCGAGGGGCAGCAUGGGCUUAGCUUGCUAAGCCCGAUGGCGACCGGCGCACGGGUGAGUAACACGUAUCCAACCUUCCGGUAACUCCGGUAUAGCCUUUCGAAAGAAAGAUUAAUCCCGGAUAGUAUGGUGAUUCCGCAUGGUUUCUCCAUUAAAGGAUUCCGGUUACCGAUGGGGGAUGCGUUCCAUUAGCUUGUUGGUAGGGUAACGGCCUACCAAGGCAACGAUGGGUAGGGGAACUGAGAGGUUUAUCCCCCACAUUGGUACUGAGACACGGACCAA